UGGGAGCUUGCUCCCGGNGUNUGUCAGGCGGCAGGGUGAGUAACACGUGGGUAACCUGCCUGUAAGACUGGGAUAACUCCGGGAAACCGGGGCUAAUACCGGAUGGUUGUUUGAACCGCAUGGUUCAAACAUAAAAGGUGGCUUCGGCUACCACUUACAGAUGGACCCGCGGCGCAUUAGCUAGUUGGUGAGGUAACGGCUCACCAAGGCAACGAUGCGUAGCCGACCUGAGAGGGUGAUCGGCCACACUGGGACUGAGACACGGCCCAGACUCCUACGGGAGGCAGCAGUAGGGAAUCUUCCGCAAUGGACGAAAGUCUGACGGAGCAACGCCGCGUGAGUGAUGAAGGUUUUCGGAUCGUAAAGCUCUGUUGUUAGGGAAGAACAAGUACCGUUCGAAUAGGGCGGUACCUUGACGGUACCUAACCAGAAAGCCACGGCUAACUACGUGCCAGCAGCCGCGGUAAUACGUAGGUGGCAAGCGUUGUCCGGAAUUAUUGGGCGUAAAGGGCUCGCAGGCGGUUUCUUAAGUCUGAUGUGAAAGCCCCCGGCUCAACCGGGGAGGGUCAUUGGAAACUGGGGAACUUGAGUGCAGAAGAGGAGAGUGGAAUCCCACGUGUACGGUGAAUUGCGUAAGAUGUGGAAGGAACCACCAGUGGCCGAAGGCAACUCUCUGUUCUGUAACCUGACCCUGAGGACGAAGCGUGGGGAGCGACAAGGAAUUAAUCCCCUGUUUCACCCAACAAAUAAUUNCUAAUUGUUUGGGGGGGGUUUCCCCCCCCCUUUUUUUCUUCUAACCCCAUAUACCCNCCCCGGGGAGUCGGGUCCAAAAAAUAAACUCAAGGAAAUUAGGGGGGCCCCCACAGGNGGUAACAUUUUUNUUUAAUAUAUCANNAACAACAUCACCUUCUAUAUCCUUANACAAAAAAAUACCCUNGGGAAGGAGUGCUGUGUUCCUCCUNUAAAUGUACNCAACCCUA
rnacentral:rRNA from 1 species